ACCUGGCUGCAGUUUCUGGAAUAAACCGCCCAGUUGGGAUUCCUGGAAACUGCUCAUUUGGAAUUCCUGAAAAACAUGGUUUUUGGUUAAUCUCUUCUUCGACAAUGGAAGGCUAUCUGCAGAGUUUAAAGGUAAAGAAGAGAGCGCAUUGACUUGAAUCGAAAAACAACUGACCAACAUAUGGUCUUGUUUCUGCUACCACCAUGUGCUGACAAAUUUAAGUCGUAUCAGUUGCACACAGCUACAGUUAAACUCUGGGGUCAAUAUGCGUUCUGCUUCACCACCUGAUGUUAUGGGCUCCUUUCUAGUUUUUGUGAGAGCAAUAUCAAAAAUUUCGGAGAACAAAAAGAAGACAAUUACAAAAAAAAAAAAAUCCUAGCUUUCUACAAGAUCCAAUUUUGCCAAGGUAUAACAGGGAUUUGAAUUGAUUUGCCUUGAAGAAAAACCCAGAAUAAAACAAGACGUGAUUUAUAGGGCUUUAUGUC